rnacentral:rRNA from 1 species
UACGUAGGGUGCAAGCGUUAAUCGGAAUUACUGGGCGUAAAGCGUGCGCAGGCGGCUUUGCAAGACAGAUGUGAAAUCCCCGGGCUCAACCUGGGAACUGCAUUUGUGACUGCAAGGCUGGAGUACGGUAGAGGGGGAUGGAAUUCCGCGUGUAGCAGUGAAAUGCGUAGAUAUGCGGAGGAACACCGAUGGCGAAGGCAAUCCCCUGGACCUGUACUGACGCUCAGGCACGAAAGCGUGGGGAGCAAACAGG